CAAAAAUUAAAGGUGAAGUCUCAGGUUCUGGGGAAUAGUAGAUGGCCAUAUUUGGGGCGGUCUUCGUUCUGCCUACCACUGAAGGCUAAAUGUUAAUCCAAAGAACAAAAUGGAAGAGAAAGUAAAAAAUGCAACACUGAGGAUUGAAAAUGUGUUUUAAUUCACAAUGAUACAAAAGAAGGAGAUACCACACACACAGAGGAAAUUCUACGUAACAAGGAUUUACCAGAAGAGUGAAGCCCCGAACUACAAGCCAUGACCUACGACAUUCCUCCCUUUGGGAAGUGUUCCCAUGUAACAUCCUUGAGUAGGUUGUCCUCUGGUCCUGCAUUCUGCCUCAGUGACACCCAUCAUCUACAUCUGGAUUCCUUAUUAUUGUCUUCUACAUAGUUUUAACAACAUUGUGAUUAAAUUUCUCAUGCUUUCAGGAAAGUCCAUUGAUGUUUUAUGCUUGGUAAUUUGUAUAAUUUCUAAGUUUCUUCUCAUGUACCACAAGGUCAUCCUCACAGGGACACCUCAGGAAUUCUAGUGCUGGCUCAGC
rnacentral:lncRNA from 10 species